AUUGAACGCUGGCGGCAUGCUUUACACAUGCAAGUCGGACGGCAGCACAGAGAAGCUUGCUUCUUGGGUGGCGAGUGGCGAACGGGUGAGUAAUAUAUCGGAACGUACCGAGUAAUGGGGGAUAACUAAUCGAAAGAUUAGCUAAUACCGCAUAUUCUCUGAGGAGGAAAGCAGGGGACCUUCGGGCCUUGCGUUAUUCGAGCGGCCGAUAUCUGAUUAGCUAGUUGGUGGGGUAAAGGCCUACCAAGGCGACGAUCAGUAGCGGGUCUGAGAGGAUGAUCCGCCACACUGGGACUGAGACACGGCCCAGACUCCUACGGGAGGCAGCAGUGGGGAAUUUUGGACAAUGGGCGCAAGCCUGAUCCAGCCAUGCCGCGUGUCUGAAGAAGGCCUUCGGGUUGUAAAGGACUUUUGUCAGGGAAGAAAAGGCUGUUGCUAAUACCGACAGCUGAUGACGGUACCUGAAGAAUAAACACCGGCUAACUACGUG
rnacentral:rRNA from 1 species